rnacentral:lncRNA from 1 species
NNNNNNNNNNNNNNNNNNNCGGCCCUUGCCCGCUUGCAAACCCGCGCGUCUCCGGCCGGGAGCGUCGAAGACCGAGCGGGUCACUGGGGAUGCGGUGGCCUUCGUGCCUUCGAAGGCGGCCCGGGUUUCCCGGGGUUUGAGCUUGGCAGGUCGGGUUUGUUUGUAGCCUUGGGCAAAAACAGCGGGGCUGCGUGCAAACGCCGCAGAUAACGCCCGCCCUCGUGGCCAGGCCGUUUCUCUAGAGCAAACAGCAGCACAGGAGAAACUAGUUAAAUCACAACUUCCCGCUGGCAGACGCCGCUGGGUCGCCGAGUGCAUCGCCCUCCCGGUGCCGCGGCCCGACCGCGCACGCGGGCAGCGGAGGCGCUCCAGAAGCUGGCUGAGCUCCCGGCCGGGCUUUCCGUGGGUUUUUUCCACGUUGCUUUUGGCAUUCCUCCUUGGCACGUGGUUACUUCUCAUCCAGGGCUGUUUGGGGGGCCGCAUCCCGCAGGCCAAGUCUUUAAGGCAACCCCGCAGCCUCCAGCGGCCGCCGGGGCCGGCCCCAAGCCCAAAGUCCUCGUGCCCGGUUGUGACCACAGGUAACCCAGCGCCGUGUUUGCUUUCAUCCAGCAAAGCUGUGCUUCUUCCUCGCAGGGGAGGAAAGGCUAUCAGGCCUGACGUGGAAAACAAAUAGGAUUAGGCAGUAACAGAGAAUAAACAUGUAGCACAAGCAAAUGGGCACUUAUCGCCCCAUGGGAGCUGGCGAGAGGCAGAAGGGCUGGAGGAGGAGCUGUGGGUCCUGCCUGGCCCUGCUCCGACCGGGCUCGCUGAGCUUGCACUUCGCUGUUUGCCAAAACAGAGGGAAAUCGGGGUUUGCUCGGCUCUGGUGACUGCUCCUGCGCCAACCGAAUCGAUUCGGGGCCGGUCCCGGAGGGCUGGGCUGAAUUUCAGCCUUCGGCAGGGUGGGGGAAGUGGUUUUGCCCGAUGCCGGCACGUGAGCUGGGAUUGUCGUGGGUUGAAGGUGAGGUUUGAGCCCAGCAGUCCCUGGCAGGACAACGUGAUUUUUCAGGCUUUGGGCGCUGACCGCUUUAUCAGGACCCUCGUGGUCCAGACGGGGACGGGACAGCUGUCUUCGAAGGCCUCAUCCGUACGGAGGGAGGGGGAAACUGCUCCCCGCCGUCGCACAGGGAAAGGAGCCCCGAGCUUUGCUGGGCAGCAAGGAGGAAAUGCGGUGGGAAUAAGACCUUGGUGGGAAGCUGUUUCCAGGUGUGAGACCGCCAGUGGUGGAGGUCAGGCAAACAUCUGGCAGGACGGAGACCCAUCCCGCCUCGGUGGGACAAGGGCCGAACCGACCGUCGUGCCGCAGGGCCUCCCCGCCUGGCCGCCUGCGGGAUGCCCCCGGGAAGGCUCUCCAGCCCCCCUGUCCCCCAAGUCCCUCUGUUUCUCCCCAGCUGGGCUGUGGAGCUGCUCGGCCGUUUUUCUUCCUCCUGCUUCUUGCCGGUGGCAGCAGGCUCCUCGGCCGGGCGCGAGGAGCUGCCCACCGCGCCGAGGGAGCUCGGGGAGACCCCGCUCUCCUGGCGGCCCNNNNNNNNNNNNNNNNNNNNNNNNNNNNNNNNNNNNNNNNNNNNNNNNNNNNNNNNNNNNNNNNNNNNNNCCUUCCCCGAGCCCCUCCAGCCGAGCCGCGUCCCAGCCGCCCCGUCCUCCCCGGAGGCGGUUGGCGCACGUUGCUCCCGUUACGUGCCGUGGGACAAGUUAUGAGGCUGUUUUCUCUACUUUGCACGCUAAAAACCGCCCUCUGACAGCCUGGAGGGUUCUCAAGCUGUGGCACAGCGUCCUUGUCUCUUGUGGCAAGAAAAUGAUAGGAAUGUGCUGCUUUUGCCCUGUUGCUUCUUCUGUGGCCGAGAUCUGUUUACCAGCUGCAGCUCGUUUCAGGUUCGGCAGCGGGCUCAGCGCCCGUCUCAAACCUCAGCCCAGCUCCAACCCCAAACCCUGGUACCGCUUUCACCCCGAUCCACCUGAGACCCCGACCCUCACCCUGCUCCUGCCUGCGCAGCCGGGCUGGCUGGAGCCACGGUGCCGGAUGC